GAUGAAGAACGCAGCGAAAUGCGAUACGUAAUGUGAAUUGCAGAAUUCAGUGAAUCAUCGAGUCUUUGAACGCACAUUGCGCCCCCUGGUAUUCCGGGGGGCAUGCCUGUCCGAGCGUCAUUGCUGCCCUCAAGCCCGGCUUGUGUGUUGGGUCUCGUCCCCCUUCCCGGGGGGACGGGCCCGAAAGGCAGCGGCGGCACCGUGUCCGGUCCUCGAGCGUAUGGGGCUUUGUCACCCGCUCUGUAGGCCCGGCCGGCGCUUGCCGAUCAACCAAAACUUUUUUCCAGGUUGACCUCGGAUCAGGUAGGGAUACCCGCUGAACUUUAGCAUAUCAAUAAGCGGAGGA
rnacentral:misc_RNA from 1 species